GAUGAACGCUGGCGGCGUGCCUAAUACAUGCAAGUCGAGCGAACGGACGAGAAGCUUGCUUCUCUGAUGUUAGCGGCGGACGGGUGUGUAACAUGUGGAUAACCUACCUAUAAGACUGGGAUCACUUCGGGAAACCGGCGCUAAUACCGGAUAAUAUUUUGAACCGCAUGGUUCAAAAGUGAAAGACGGUCUUGCUGUCACUUAUAGAUGGAUCCGCGCUGCAUUAGCUAGUUGGUAAGGUAACGGCCUAUCAAGGCAACGAUGCAUAGCCGACCGGAGAGGGUGAUAGGCCACACGAGAGCGUGAACGCGGUCCAUACGCCUACGAGACGCAGCAGUAGGGAAUCGGACGCAGUAGGCGGGAGCCUGACGGAACAGCGCGACGUGAGUGAUGGAGGUGUUCGGAUCGGAAAACUCUGUUAUUAGUGAAGAACAUAUGUGUAAGGAGCUGUGCACAUCUUGACGGUACCUAAUCAGAAAGCCACGGCUAACUACGUG
rnacentral:rRNA from 1 species